AGUGAACGCUGGCGGUAGGCCUAACACAUGCAAGUCGAACGGCAGCACAGUAAGAGCUUGCUCUUACGGGUGGCGAGUGGCGGACGGGUGAGGAAUACAUCGGAAUCUACUUUUUCGUGGGGGAUAACGUAGGGAAACUUACGCUAAUACCGCAUACGACCUACGGGUGAAAGCAGGGGAUCUUCGGACCUUGCGCGAUUGAAUGAGCCGAUGUCGGAUUAGCUAGUUGGCGGGGUAAAGGCCCACCAAGGCGACGAUCCGUAGCUGGUCUGAGAGGAUGUUCAGCCACACUGGAACUGAGACACAGUCCAGACUCCUACGGGAGGCAGCAGUGGGGAAUAUUGGACAAUGCGCGAAAGCCUGAUACAGCCAUACCGCGUGGGUGAAGAAGGCCUUCGGGUUGUAAAGCCCUUUUGUUGGGAAAGAAAAGCAGCAGGUUAAUACCCCGCUGUUCUGACGGUACCCAAAGAAUAAGCACCGGCUAACUUCGUG
rnacentral:rRNA from 1 species